rnacentral:tRNA from 2 species
UCCCCCGUGGUGUAACUGGCAGCACACUAGAUUUUGGAUCUAGUAGGACAAGGUUCGAAUCCUUGCGGGGGAGCCA